CUAGGCUCCGGCUUGUCACUGCCAAUUCAGUGACCGGGUUUAGUAGCCCGCCAU
rfam:Pseudomonas fuscovaginae strain IRRI 6609 Pf_IRRI_6609_contig_4.4, whole genome shotgun sequence.